AAAAUGGCCAUCUCUUCAAAGGUCUUCGUCUUCAUCUUAUGCUCUAUCCUUUUAGCAUCGGUUAGUAGUAGCAUUGAGAUAAAGCAGGUAUGCACAUGUGUAAAAGAUCUUGGACCGUGCAAUGAUCGGUGUCAAGCCGACUGUGUUACUUUAUUUGUCCGAAAUCUAGAAAAUGCUUAUUGCACAUCUGGAGUCUGCCAUUGCGCUUUUAGAUGCUCAACAUGUCCUCCGAAAUAAAGUUGGUUCAACAAGUAUUUGUUUGCUAUAAUGUGUCUUAUUUCCUUGAGUUUGAACCAUCUUUAUUAAAUAAAAAAAGUACUCCUCCUAAGAUUUGAGUUUGAUUGUAACAUGUGAUCAUUUUUUUA